GAUUAUUAUGAGCAUUUAAAGCGCUACCAAGCGAUUUUUCUACUGCAAAGUGGGCGUACUUCGAAUACGAGAAACAAAACCCAGUCUUCACAGUGAAAACUAAAGAAGCCGAUUUCCCCUCGGACGACCAACAAGAAAGACUGCAUAUAUCACUAAAAUUUGGAGCCACGGUCGGAAGUACAGGCCGACUCGCGAUGGAAUUCUGACCAUUCCCGCGAGAUUCAACACACAGAACAGCGCCCAUCCUCCCAGCAGCACGCAGCUGACCGGCAAAACAGCGGAAUCUCCGACAACCGCCUGGGCUACGCUGAUGGCCAGACUCAGUGUUACAACGGGAUAACACAGGGAAACAACGUAGUAAAAAAAGGCGGCCAUAGCAGCUAGGUGCCCGCUCCAGCAGCGUGUAAUGCAGCGUGUGACGGUUAGAAAGGCCGCCGGGGUGUCGUGGAUGGCCCAGGUGGGCGUGUUCACCAGCAGACUGCACGGCAGUAGGAUGCACAGCGCCAGCGUGGGCACGACACAGAUGAGCAGGAGGAACGCGGGAGCGAUGAGAUCAAAGCCCAGGGUGGGAUUUUUGGUGAUAUGCACGGAGGCGUCACAGAUGAUAUCGAGAAAAGGAAACCAUGGCUUCGCACUGCGCAGCCAGUAGCAGCGAUCAUAAUCACACAGCUUCACGCUGAGCCUGACGGAGCAUUGUACCGGUCACUUUCACAACAAUGAGUUAGGCCGUAAGGCCGCGUCCGAUCACUUCGGCCGCGUUGAAUCCGUUCUAGCCUUCACUUCGGCCGAGGCUCAAUUAGGCCGCGGCUUCUUUCGGCCAGCACUCAAUUCGGCCAACACUCAUUUUGCCAACUGGGCAUUUCAGCCAUCUUGGUUUUCAAGAUUUUCUUCGGUUCCGUAGUUUUCUUUUCUUAUAUAUCUUUUUUUUCUUUUUUUUCUCUUCCUGUUUUGUCUCUCCUCAUUUUUGUGUAUGUGUUCUUAUGUUUGUUUAUUGUAUUUUUUUAUUUUCUUAUAUUUCUUUGAUGAUUUUAAAUUUAAAUGUGUUAUGCUCUUUUAUGUUUUAAGUUUUCAUAAUUUUCCUCAUGUUUUCAUAUUUUUCUUCGGUUUCAUGGGUAGUU